AUUGAACGCUGGCGGCAGGCUUAACACAUGCAAGUCGAGCGGGGGAAGGUAGCUUGCUACCGGACCUAGCGGCGGACGGGUGAGUAAUGCUUAGGAAUCUGCCUAUUAGUGGGGGACAACAUCUCGAAAGGGAUGCUAAUACCGCAUACGUCCUAUGGGAGAAAGCAGGGGAUCUUCGGACCUUGCGCUAAUAGAUGAGCCUAAGUCGGAUUCGCUAGUUGGUGGGGUAAAGGCCUACCAAGGCGACGAUCUGUAGCGGGUCUGAGAGGAUGAUCCGCCACACUGGGUCUGGGACACGGCCCAGACUCCUACGGGAGGCAGCAGUGGGGAAUAUUGGACAAUGGGGGGAACCCUGAUCCAGCCAUGCCGCGUGUGUGAAGAAGGCCUUAUGGUUGUAAAGCACUUUAAGCGAGGAGGAGGCUACUUUAGUUAAUACCUAGAGAUAGUGGACGUUACUCGCAGAAUAAGCACCGGCUAACUCUGUGCCAGCCGCCGCGGUAA
rnacentral:rRNA from 1 species